AGUUAAAAACCAUAAACAAAAGAAUAAAAAUAAACAAAAAGAAAAAAGAAGGUAAGAAGGCAUACCCCUGUAUAUUUGCCAUUCAAGGGAGAUGUUUUGGAGUAAUUGAUUAUGGAAAUGUUUAAACCAGUAACAUGUCUAGAUCAUACAGGUUGUAAUAUAUCUCAUUAAACCAUGAUAUUAAGACAAAGUGAAUGGUGGCUUUCAAUCAUAGCUCAUAGUUGACCUGUCUUCUUCCUGUUUUAUCUGCUUCUAUUUCUAGAAAUUUUGAUAUCUAGCUGUUCUUCAUUCCUGACAUUUAAUAGUAAAUGAUUUGGAUAUGUAGGCCUACAUACAAAGUGAUGUGGAAUACUUAUGAACAUACUUUUAUUAUUCUGUGAUUCAAUCUCUGUCUAUGAUCUUUCUGUCAUCUCUCUCACUCUCCUCACUAUUUAUUUUACAUUUUUAAUCCACCAA
rnacentral:misc_RNA from 1 species